ensembl:lncRNA
GGCACGGUGGCGGCGGGCGGGGCUUUCCCCGCGGCCCGGAGCGAUGGGGGAGCGGCGGGCGCUCUCAGCGCGUGGAAAUGGACGGCGGAGCCCAACGUCGCGGGUAGAAAUGGCCGCCCCCCUCCGCCGGGAGAUGGCCGGGAGGGGGGGGGACCGUGCUCCGCAACGACUGCAAGCGUGGUCCCGCUAUUAACCGUGAUGAAUUGCCCUCAAAGAGCGAGUUGUGAAAGAGAGAAGUCCAGGCAGGUGUCCGCGAUAAGGAGACAUUAAAAUGCUUCGUCUGUAAACUCGCUUGUCCCACGGAGGGGAACCAGUGGGUUUUCAGGCUGUGCCCACCGAGAAUGGGCUGAGCGCAUUCGUUCGCCUGGCUGUAAGUGCACAGGGGUGGCUCGGAGCUGUACAGACUCACACAACUGGAUGAUCUCGCAGGGGCUGUCGUGGCCGAAUGCCACAGACUCGACUGUCCCGUGCUGCAGAGAAGCGUGCGUUGGGAUCCGGCAGUCCUGUGGAAAUUCAGGUUCACUGAGCUCAAAAGAAACGCGGAGCCACAAAUGUAUGAGCCGGGUUACACCCACGGCUGCCGGCGGGGCUGGGGAUGCAGUGCUGUAUUCCACACAUACCCAUCAGAACGAGGGCCCGAGCUGCUGAGGGAAAAGCUCAGAAGCUGUUGAAUCCCAUUUAUUAUCAAUUUUAUGAUGAUUUUUCUCUCGCUAUUUUGCUGCCUUGUUUGGUUAUUGAUGAAUUCCAGAACGGUUUCUUCUUGUUUUGCCUCUGUGUUUUACGCUUUGGGAUGGGUGAGGGUAAAAUGAGCAUCAGUGGCUCUAUAAAGAGUUCCUUGAGCCUCGUGCUCCCUUUGAAAUCCCAAAUGGAAGGUUGUCCUGCCACGGGGCUGUGGAAUUACCCCACAGAUGGGGAGGAUGGGGAAAAAGCAGCAGUAAGGCCAUCGUGUACGUGGCAUUGCAAGAGAGUAAAGAGAGACCUUACAGAAAUAUACAGCAGGGCUCUGUGGGAACGUGGAGGUUCAGACUGCAGCCUGGCCCUGUGCUUCACUGCAUUGGCUUCCCCCACUUCAGCGUGUGUGCACACAGAGUCCUGUGUCUGUUGUUUCCUCCCAGUGCUUUAGGAUGCCAGUGACUCUUGUUUGUGAAACAAAAGGGCAGCUCAAGAGGGAAAAAAAAAACCUGACACUGUGUUAAUUUUCGCAGGUUUGUGUUUACAGUGUAUAGUAAUAAUACCUUGCAUUUGUGUAGCACUUGCCGUUUGGCAAUCAGAAUGAGCACUGUGCCCGUGCUGAAGUGAAUUUCGCCAUUGCUCAGAGACGUGUGGAUGUGUUAUCCUCCUUUUACAGGGCCAGCCCGGCACCCAAUGCCACCUGGACCUCUGUGCCUUGUCGUGGCUGUGAAAUGAGUGCAUCGGUGACAAAGGAAGGACAAGAAGUUGUUCAGAAUAAAAUAGAUGCGAAAUUCCAUCCAAAGACUUCCUCCAGCAAAAGGAAAGCUUGCCAUUCUGUGAUUCUAUGAUCCUCUAA